rnacentral:rRNA from 1 species
AUGGACACGGCGGCCAUGGCGGGCGCCAUGAGGGACCUGGCCGCCCUCUCCAUGCGGUUCCUCCUCCACCUCAGCGGCAACCAAACCAACCUGGCUUUCUCCCCGCUGUCGUUCUACUACGUCCUCGUCCUUCUCGCUGCCGGUGCCACGGGCGACACCCUCAACCAGAUCGUCUCCUUCCUAGGCCCCUCCGGCGGCAUGGCGCAUGCAUCCCUCGCCACCCAUGCAGCCUCUGCUUUCCUCGCUCGGGGCAAUGGCUCGGAGCCCGACGUGCGGUGCGGGGUAGGCGUUUGGGUGGAUUCGUCGCUCCAGCUUAGGCCUGCUUUCGCAGACAUGGUCGCCUCCCGGUACAAUGCCACAGCUCAAGCCAUGCCUUUCCAAGAAAAGCCUGACGAGGCGAGAGUUGAGAUCAACCGCUGGUUCGAGGACAAGACAGGCGGCCUGAUCAAAGAACUCAUGCCGGAGGGCCACCUCGACAGCGACACCGCCCUGGUCAUCGGCACCGCGCUCUACCUGAGAGGCUCAUGGCUGCGCCCGUUCGAUCGCGAAGACACAGUGGACGGCGACUUCUUCUUGGCCAACGGGAGCAGUGUGCGCGUGCCGUUCAUGACGAGCGGAAACCGCCAGCGCAUCAGCUCCCAUGCAGGCUUCAAAGUACUGCAGCUGCCCUACGAUUCCGGCAGGGUUGGCGGCAGGCAGAGCUUCAGCAUGCACAUCUAUCUCCCUGACGAGCGCGACGGGCUGCAGGCGCUGAUCCGCGAGCUCAGCUCCGACACGGCCGGGUUCCUGAACCGCAGCGCCCCCGCGCAGGCGGUGGAAGUGGGGGACUUCAAGGUCCCCAAGUUCAAGGUGUCGCGCAAGGUGGACGUGUCGGAUCUGCUGAAGGAUAUGGGGCUGGAGCGACCGUUCUGCUUUUCACACGACUUCGCGGAGAUGGUUGACUACUCGGAACCUCUCGCGGUGCGUAGCGUGCUACACGAGUGCGUGGUUGAGGUCGACGAGGAUGGAACCAUGGCCGCGGCGGCCACCGAAGCUGACAUCAUGACGGGCUGCUCCAUCGGAUGGGAGGAGCCGGUGCGCGUCGACUUCGUUGCAGAUCACCCGUUCCUGUUCCUCAUCAGGGAGGACGAGAGUGGCAUAGUGCUUUUUGCAGGGCAAGUCGUCAACCCCGAGCUCUAG